rnacentral:lncRNA from 1 species
UAUUCAACUCCAAGUACACCUUUUCUUUCUCCAUUUUUACAAUUGUUUUGCUUUUUGUUUUUUCUGUGCUGCUGGUAACAGAUGCUUGCACACACCCCUUUUUCUUUUCUUUUGAUGUUGAUUUAAUUGGUAAAAGUCCAGAUCUUCUUAGAUCUAGCCGGUUCUAGGAUUUUCCAGUGUUUUGCUGUUGUUUUAACGGGUAAAAGUCCAGAUCUUCUUAGAUCUAGGAUUUUACGGCGAGGGAAUUCGAUCAGUGACCGGCUAGCAUUUGUCAUUAUUUUUAGGCUAUGACUUGUAUGGGUCAAUUUGUGGGCUACCGGAUGAUAUUUGUUUUGCCCGAUGGGCUAUAAAUGAAGUUCUCUCAAUAUUAUACUCCCUAAUUUCUAACCUAGUAAGAAAGCACAACAGCGCCUCUUUCCACCUUCCUCUGUCACCUUCUUUAUUUUCAAAAACCUCCGAGCUUUGACAUCUUUCAAUCAAAAGAUGCUGCACCAUUUUGGUGCAAAUAACGUCUCUUUCUUUCCUCUUCCACAUUUGUGCUUGGUGACCCGUGAAUCUUUAAGGUCUCAGUCAAAAUCAUGACAUUUCGGACAAGAAGUUGAACCAAUUCACGUGAGCACCCAGCUCGUCUCAAUGUUCGGAUUCAAACGGGCUAUGACUCGAUUUUGAAUCCCUAAUUUUGAAAUCCUGCUCAAAAACUCGAACCCUAGCUCUACAUCUCUUAUAAAUACUUGCAUUUGGGAGAGUUUAGAAUAGGAAGGGGCCGCCACCUCUAUUUCCCUUCCAAUAGGCUUCAGUCGCCCUCUUUACUGAAAUUUAUUGUUUACUGCUGUUUCUAACUUCAAUUUAUUGUUCUUGCUCACUCCUCAUCUCUCAAUAAUAAGUUUAGAAAUACAAGUCCUAAAUCACGUUCUAUUUAUUUCCUCAUCCUUGAGGAUCUCUGUCGUCUUUCUUCUUGGUCGUAGCAGAUAUUCUCUUACUGUUCUGGUCGAAUCAUUUAUUCGUAAAAGAGGCUUGAGUCGGAGAUUCGAAUAGCCAUUGCAAAACGCCCUAGUUUACUGCCCGCAAAAAGGUCCGUAGCUUUAAAAUUUUCUUCUCCCUGAUUUUAUUUAUUUACUAGUGAACUUGCCGCUCUUCGGGAGGAAAAACCUCUUUAUAGAAUAAUAUUUUAAUAUUAAUAUUUGAAUAUUAAAAAUAAUAGAAGUAGGUUACAUAUACCUUAUUGUUUACCUUUUUGUUCUUUUAUAUCAUGUUGGGUUUCACAAAAGAACGGAGAAAGAUAAAUGAGCUAUUCAUAAUUUACUCUUUUAGUUGCUUGAUACGGAUACAUAUUUUUUCAUCUUUAUAUUUUGAUGGGAUAUAGUAAAUUAAAGUGAAUAGGUAUUUCUUUUCUAUCCAUGGAAUAUAGACAUGUUAUUAUGACAUACAUGUAAAACUCACAAAUAUAUACAAAUUUUUGUGGGGGAAAUACCACUGCAUGUCUACCGUCUGCCGUUAUCGCAAUUACUUCAAAUCGCGAUAAUUUUUUGUUCGUUUGAGAUCUCUCCUCGUGUAUAAAUUAACAACGAGAAAUCUUUUACAUAGCAUAUAUAAAUUUAAUUAUCAUCUUAAAAGUGAAAGCAAAAACUUAAAAUAUAGUAGUAUUAAUUUAAUCUAAAUUUAACAUUUCCUUCAUUUUACUAUCAGAAAGAAGUUACGACUUAUUUCCUUCUAUUCUGCCAAAGCAAAUUCUUCUAACUUUGCACAAAGUCUAUACCUUAUCUGUCCAGAACUUUGAAAUUAAAACCACAUCUCAUCAUCUUAUUCAAGAAAGUCCACCUGACACCUCUAUGAUUUCAACCUAUAUAACUUCUGAAUAAUAUCACCCUCUUUUGAUCCCCUUUAAUUCAUCUAAUUUCGUUUUGACAAAGUAUUUCUCAAUAGUCUGUCUAGGUUUCUACACUAUCUUGGGCAAAAGUUACAUUAACUUGCAAAUUAAUGAGUCAAAGAUUAGGAAACCCAUAACUCAUAAGCAUUACAUUUGCAUGGCCGGAAACUCCAGGAAUUAUAGAAUCACAGAAAGAAAAGAAGAAGAGAGAAUAACCUUAUAAUAUAUAUAUAUAUAUAUAUAUAUAUGAAGCUUCAACUGUACCAUUAGUUUCUUCUCUGCCAAAACUUCCUCACUGAUAGUUGACUUCCUCUACUCCGCUAGUUUUUUAUCUUUUGUAAAGUAAAUGAUCGGCUCACCAAAAAAAAUCAAUUUGAUGAGAAAAAUAGAUAAUUAUACCCUUAAGAGAGUCUUUGUCUCAAGAAUUGUGCAUUCAUCACAAGAUAAUAACCUCCGUCAGAAGAAAAGGUGGAAAGGUCGAAAGGUUAAAACUAAUUUCUUUUUUUUCCUUAUUUAUUAUGCAGAAUGUUACAGACAAAUUUUUGAGGAGUGGAAGGUUGCAAUGGUUCGGGUAAAAAGAAAAGGGUAUAACGGUUAAAAUUUGAAAGUAAUGGUUUUCGUUUUCGUAUUUCUGGAAUUUAAUAAUGGAUUACUGUACUGAAUUGAGUGAGAAAAAAAUCUAAAAAUUGACAAAAUAGAUAAAUUCAUUUCCUUGUCUAUGAGAUAUGCCACGUCAUCUCUUAAGGUCCCUCAAUUAUAGAUAUAUAUAGAUUUAUUUUAAGUUUCAUAAUAAAUGCUUGCUGAAGAAUGUGACGCUUUCAAUGUAGAAAUCUUACUUUAGGGAAUUGUUUGGUUGAGAAACCUUGAUUUGUGACUCGUUAUGUAUUCUGGCAUAUAGAGUUUGAUAAGAAUGACAUGUGUUUGACUAAGCCCUCGUAUGAAUUUGUCUAUGAAAUUUGUUGAUAGCACAUCCUGAUCAUUAAAUCUUUAAUAUGCUGUUUUCAGUUAUUUUAAGAAUCAUGUUUGCAGGCCAUGAACUUUUAUGGAUUAGCCACUAUUUACUUAAAUGUCAUUAGAAGAAGUACUCUAAAAAUUAUUGUUUUUCUAGAUUUGAUAUUUAAAUCAUAUGACACUUUCUUUUGUUUAAGAAAACUACGGAUGAACUCUCAUGUGUUGCUUUUACCAUUAGAUAUCAUGCUUAGGAUUUCUUUUUGUGUGUUUUAGAGAAACUGAUUAUAAGAAGCUUAAGUUUGACGGUAUGGACUUGAAGUAUUUCUAGUGCCAUAUUAAUUAAAAUGCAGACUUCUUCUUUCUUUUACUAUCACCAACAGUGUAUGCCUUUGGAUAUCCGAUUUCUUAGCAAUUAUGUUUUAUUUUAGGAGGUUGCUGUCAAAAUCUUGUACGAGUCAAACUAGAUAUUUCAGAAGAUAAUCGCAUUUAUGUAUUAAUAAGUUGUUCCUUUGGUUGUAAAAGCUAUUCUAUAACAAAUGCUUUCUCCAUGUCUUGUAUACUGUAUUACCAACUUGGAUAGAUGUUCACAAAUUAUCUAGGAUAGUUAAGGCCUGUUUAAACAAGUAAGAAUAUCCUGCCAUAGUUAAAUACAUGUAUAUGUAAACCUUUAAAUAUGUCCUCAAGCAUUUUUACCUCAUUUAGUAAUUCAUUCACUGCCUAGAAUUCAUGCCGAUAGGUUUAAAUAAUUCUCACUUAACUCAAACUAAAACUUUUUGAGUUAGGACUUUAGUAAUUAGUGCAUUGUGCUAGAAAAACUUUUGACCUUACUGUUUCUAUGAGCUAAGUGAUAAUACAUUUGGUUGUUUCAUGUGCAGUGAGGUAUUGAACUUCUUUUUCUAAUUUUCUGCUUUCCUUUCUUUUGCAUAUGCACAUGGAGCAAACCAUGGAGUCUUAAUGCAAGAGUCGCCCAUACCCAAGCAUGGAGUCAUCACGUCCCAUAUUCCUAUUGAUGCAUUGGAUAUAACAUAUAUAAUUAUGCAUGCUAUAUCAUUAAAUGUUAUUAUUAGCUGCUGUCCUUUAUAUCUCUUCUUGCUCUUUUCGAUUGAUAUCAAAGGGGGAGAAGAAAAAGAAUAUAAAGACAGGGGGAGCGUGCAAACAAGAGCACAAAGACAGGGGAAGAAGAAGUCCACAACUUGAAAUAGAAGUGUCCCCUAAAUUAGUCAAACUCUUUCUAGUUUAUUGUCAUCAUCAAAAAGAGGAAGAUUGUUAGGUUUAGAAUUUUAAUAAUAAUUAAUAACAAAAAUCAAUGACUAAUGCAAUUCUACUUUGUGUGUAGAUUCGCAAGAACGCAACGGCUCUAAAGAACACAAGGAAAGAAAGAAAAUCAUCUAAGCACAUCAAAGGGAGCCAACAACUAUGAUAUUCAAACUCUAUUAGUAUACCUGGAAGAAAAGAGAAUCAAUCAAGCAAGCAAGAGAUUCUCAAGCAUACAAGGGAGGAAAGAGAAUCAAUCAAACAAGCAAAGGACUCUCGAGCAUACAAGGAACGAAAGAGAAUCAAUUAAGAAAAUCAGCGAAAGUAUUUAAGAGAAGUUAAUUGGAUAGAUGAAGGAGCGAAACUACAAACUAAGAAUGAAUCUGGUUAUACGACACAAGCUAGAUUCAUGAGGCUACCCUUGGUUCCUACGGUUAGAAGAUUAUUCUUCACAAGGAAAAGUCCUACAAUCCAUGAUCUUCCACAAUCUUAGAAAAAGAGGAAUUAGAAGCUUCAUCGAGUAUUGAGGUUUUAAGUAUAUUAAAUGCUUAAAAGAGGGUGAAUGGGAAAUGGAGGAAAAUGAAAUUUUAAGCUCCCUCCUGAUGAAGGAACAUUGUCCUAUAUUGGAAGAGGAAAAUGUUUUUAAUGGUUUAUAAGCAAUUGCUCUUCUUCUAGCUCUUAAAGAAUUGAGAAGAAGGCAAACCUCGCGCCGUCAUCGCUCGCUUGGCUUCGGCUUCAGAUUGGGAUUGGAAUUGGGAUUUGAUUUGGAUUUGGUC